CUCCCCUAUACUCCAUUUCCUUGCCUUAGUCUCCCCUAUAAUGAGUUCUCCAUUUCCUUGCCUUAGUCUCCCCUAUAAUGAGUUCUCCAUUUCCUUGCCUUAAUCUCCCCUAUAAUGAGUUCUCCAUUUCCUUGCCUUAAUCUCCCCUAUAAUGAGUUCUCCAUUUCCUUGCCUUAGUCUCCCCUAUAAUGAGUUCUCCAUUUCCUUGCCUUAGUCUCCCCUAUAAUGAGUUCUCCAUUUCCUUGCCUUAGUCUCCCCUAUAAUGGUGGUUUCAUCUUCACCAUCUAUUUGAAGCGUUAUUUGACUGUUUGCUGCUCUUUUCCCCAAAAAUGGACAGAAAAAAAGUUCUGGAAAUGGAUGAAAAGCUUAUGUUGCACCUCAUCACACAUCCUAAUGACACUGCCUGGAGAACACUUAUGUCAGAUGAACCAAUACAUGUAUGUAGCCCAGGGAGGAAGAGGGCAGUUAACAGGGACCUGUGCAGAAGCUACAGACCGAUUUAGUAAGAACAAAAACACAAAAGUAAUGAAAUAUUCUGCUUGUCAUGUUUUCAGAAACUAUCUAUACAAGGUGUAUUGUCGUCACACUUUCAAAAUGUAAAUUGUCUGGACAUUUGCUUGGCCCUAGUCUCACUAUGUUAGUGCAACCAAGGUUCAAAUUGUUAUUCUCUGGAGAUCAAAAAUUAAACAUUUUAAAAACAA